AUUGAACGCUGGCGGCAGGCUUAACACAUGCAAGUCGAACGGGUGGGGGCGGGGGGGAAAUGCGUGGGAAUCUUGCGUAUGGAGGGGGUUAACUACGGGAAACUGUAGCAAAUACCGCGUACCCUAGGGUUAGCCCAAGUGGGAUUAGGUAGUUGGUGAGGUAAAGGCUCACCAAGCCGACGAUCCCUAGCUGGUCUGAGAGGAUGACCAGCCACACUGGGACUGAGACACGGCCCAGACUCCUACGGGAGGCAGCAGUGGGGAAUAUUGCGCAAUGGGGGCAACCUGACGCAGCCAUGCCGCGUGAAUGAAGAAGGCCUUCGGGUUGUAAAGUUCUUUCGGUAGCGAGGCGUUAACUACAGAAGAAGCACCGGCUAACUCCGUGCCAGCAGCCGCGGUAAUAC
rnacentral:rRNA from 1 species